rnacentral:rRNA from 1 species
GACGUAGGAGGCGGGCGUUAUCCGGAUUCACUGGGCGUAAAGCGCAUGUAGGCGGCUGGACAAGUCGUGUGUUAAAGCCCCUGGCUCAACUGGGGGGAGGUCAUGCGAGACUGUACGGCUGGAGGGCAACAGAGGCACGUGGAACUCCCGGUGUAGCGGUGGAAUGCGUAGAGAUCGGGAAGAACACCAGUGGCGAAGGCGACGUGCUGGGUUGCACCUGACGCUGAGAUGCGAAAGUGUGGGGAGCAAACGGG